rnacentral:rRNA from 1 species
UACGACUACAUAUCAGGCAUAUCAAUAAGCGGAGGAAAAGAAACUAACUAGGAUUCCCUUCAGUAACGGCGAGUGAAGCGGGAAGAGCUCAAAUUUGAAAUCUUCAAGGUUCUACCUUGACGAAUUGUAGUUUAAAGAAGUGUUUUCUGUUAGAUGAGUUAGGCUAAAAGUUCCUUGGAAUAGGGACAUCAUAGAGGGUGAGAAUCCCGUAUUUGGACUUAUUCAUUCUAGCUUUGUGAUACACUUUCAAAGAGUCGGAUUGUUUGGGAAUGCAGUCCAAAAUGGGUGGUAAAUUUCAUCUAAAGCUAAAUAUUGGCGAGAGACCGAUAGCGAACAAGUACCGUGAGGGAAAGAUGAAAAGAACUUUGAAAAGAGAGUUAAACAGUACGUGAAAUUGUCGAAAGGGAAGCGUUUGACACCAGUGUUGUUUUUCUCGAAAAUCAAUUACGAAAUGGCUUGAUUUUGUGUUGUAUUGACCUUAUCAGCUUUCUGCACUCUUUUUCGAGUCUUUCUUAAUGCACUUUUCGUUUAACAAGUCAACAUCAAUUUCUUUUGUUGUAAAAGGAGUAUUCGGGAAGGUGGCUUUCUUUUCGGAGAAAGUGUUUAUAGCCCUAUACUUCUACAAUCGGAGAGAUUGAGGUCUGCAGCGUAGAUCCUUCGGGGUUAGAUACACUUGUGCUAAGUUGUAGCUUUUCAUAGACAACUUGUUGACUAUGUUUAGUCAUGCGGCUUACUCGCUUGUGCUAUUUUACCUACGCUUAGGAUGUUGAGUAGCGACAUACGCAC